rnacentral:misc_RNA from 1 species
AACAGAGGAGAUGUAAAUUACAGAAAUCCAUGUCUGACAAUGCAUCAACCAUGGGCUUCUUUGCUUGUUUAUGGUAUUAAACGCAUUGAAGGAAGAUCUUGGCCUGCACCCAUUACUGGUCGACUUUGGAUUCAUGCUGCUAGUAAGAUUCCAGAACCAGAAACCAUCAAAGCAAUGGAGGACUUCUACAGGGAACUCUAUGCUGUGAAUGGCGUAACAGAUCUCAAGUUUCCCGAGCAUUAUCCAGUUUCAAGACUUCUAGGUUGUGUUGAAGUAGUUGGAUGUGUCACAUGUGACGAGCUAGUCAACUGGGAUCAGAUUCCCGAAGGGGUGAGACUAGAGGGACAAACAAAAUUUUGCUGGCUCUGUGAGCAACCACAGAAACUUAUCGUACCAUUUGAGAUGCGAGGGUUCCAAGGUGUUUACAACUUGGAAAGAAAGAUAUAUGAAGCUGCAAUCCGAGGUAUUUCUCCAGUUGUGCCCCCACUUCCAGUGAAAUUUCCCCUUCCAAAUCCGCGGGAUCCUUUCUCAUUGAAGCCGAGAUCCCUUGUUUCCUCCCCAAGUAGCUCUAGUACAUCUGAGGUAAACAACCGAUCUGAAAAUCUUGUUGCUGCAAUAGCUGGUGCACGAGCGGCUGCCACACAGUUUUCUAAGAAUGGCAAUCCCCUGUCCAAUACAUUCGAGGUAGGAGAUGAUUCAAGGACAGGAAAAAGGUAUCGGAGGGCUCAAUGAUGCGCGAGUUGCUGGAAAAGCUUGGUCAAAUAACUUCAUUGUAAGUUAGUUUAUCAACAAUUAUGCAGUAUAGUUAUUUAGUUGGGGUUUUGUUGUUAUGGUUCUAAGUUUCAUUUGAAAUUAUGAUAUGUAAAUUGCUGGUCAAAAUGUUCAUGUCAUGUGUAUCAUAAGUUAUGAGAAAGGAAA